UACGUAGGGGCCUAGCGUUGUCCGGAUUUAUUGGGCGUAAAGAGCUCGUAGGCGGUUCGGCAAGUCGGAUGUGAAAUCUCCACGCUUAACGUGGAGGGGCCAUUCGAAGCUGCCGUGACUCGAGUCCGGUAGGGGAGUGUGGAAUUCCCGGUGUAGCGGUGAAAUGCGCAGAUAUCGGGAGGAACACCGGUGGCGAAGGCGGUUCUCUGGGCCUGUUCUGACGCUGAGGAGCGAAAGCGUGGGGAGCAAACAGG
rnacentral:rRNA from 1 species